GAUGAACGCUAGCUAUAGGCUUAACACAUGCAAGUCGAGGGGAAACGGCAUUAUGUGCUUGCACAUUUUGGACGUCGACCGGCGCACGGGUGAGUAUCGCGUAUCCAACCUGCCCUUUACUUGGGGAUACCCCGUUGAAAGACGGCCUAAUACCCGAUGUAAUUCAUUGAUGGCAUCAGAUAUGAAUAAAAGAUUUAUCGGUAAAGGAUGGGGAUGCGUCUGAUUAGCUUGUUGGUGAGGUAACGGCUCACCAAGGCGACGAUCAGUAGGGGUUCUGAGAGGAAGGUCCCCCACAUUGGAACUGAGACACGGUCCAAACUCCUACGGGAGGCAGCAGUGAGGAAUAUUGGUCAAUGGGCGCAAGCCUGAACCAGCCAAGUAGCGUGCAGGAAGACGGCCCUAUGGGUUGUAAACUGCUUUUAUACGAGAAUAAUUUGAUGCACGUGUGCGUUAUUGCAUGUAUCGGAUGAAUAAGGACCGGCUAAUUCCGUG
rnacentral:rRNA from 1 species